AAUGGGACAUUCCCCUAAAAACGCAGAUUACUACAGACUUCCUUCAUAAACUUUUAAGUUUGAGAAAUUUUGUCAAUUUGCUAUAAACAUCUAAAUUUAUUUAAUAGGAAAUUUGCCUCUAAUUGGAAAUAUUUACUAUUUGAGAUUCAGUACUAUGCGUAAAAGAUGACGUCUCAUUUUGCCUCAUGAGACUCAUCUGACAAAAGCUAUCCCAUACUUUAUCCAUGUACGUCCCAGUUUUCCGAAAUAAAUUCAUAUAGCUAGAUAACGCACGUCUAUGAAUAUUUAGAUAGUUGAAUAAUAAAUGUCACCAGACCAGAAUUCGCUUCCUGUAAAUGUAAACAUCUCAAUAAGACGGAAUAAUACGUACUUAAUUAUUUACUAAUCGUAAAUGGAAGACUAAUUUAUAAUUCUUCUUAAAACUACGUGAUUAUCUGCACAUCUUGUAAAUGUUGAUAUGAACAAAUUUAAUAAGGUGACUCAUUAAAAACAUGGCUGUUUUUAUGUCUUGUCACGAUUCCUGAACAAAAUCGUAAUUUUUUCAAUGAUGCUGCCGAGGUGCAUGCACACAAUUUACUAAUGUUAAGAAGUAGGGUUUAAUGGAGCAUGUAAACAGUGGAAAUUUUUAUGUUAUGUGGGUUCGAUUGGAAGAUAAUUAAGUACAGAUAAGCAAAUAAUAAAUAUGUAUUAAUAUUGCGGGUUAGACGAAUCGUCAUAUUUAAAGGAAUGUAUUUUUUCAUUUGGCGAGCAAUUUCACGUCCCGAAUUUUGAAAAAUCGAAUUAUUUACAUCCAAUCGAACAAUUAAAAGUUUUCUUAUUUGGAAAAAGAGAAAUUCACGCAGUCCUUGUUUUUAAAUGGCUUACUUUCCAAUCGCAACGACAUGUUAAAGAUACAAUGUACAACCUAUGAUUUCCUUUUAUCGUGUUCAAACUUUAAAAAAUAAUUUUAUCAGGUUUUAAAUCUAUCAAAAAAUAUAAAAAUCCAAAAAAUCUCAACUUUCUAAAAAUCCACAAUUUAGUCCAACGAAAUGAAAAUCCUUCACUUUACAAUCUAAAAAUUCAACUGGCCACAUUCCUCAAUUCCAAAAAAAA